rnacentral:rRNA from 1 species
GGGGGACCUUCGGGCCUCUUGCCAUCACAUGUGCCCAGAUGGGAUUAGCUAGGAGGUGGGGUAACGGCUCACCUACGCGACGAUCCCUAGCUGGUCUGAGAGGAUGACCAGCCACACUGGAACUGAGACACGGUCCAGACUCCUACGGGAGGCAGCAGUGGGGAAUAUUGCACAAUGGGCGCAAGCCUGAUGCAGCCAUGCCGCGUGUAUGAAGAAGGCCUUCGGGUUGUAAAGUACUUUCAGCGGGGAGGAAGGCGAUAAGGUUAAUAACCUUGUCGAUUGACGUUACCCGCAGAAGAAGCACCGGCUAACUCCGUGCCAGCAG